rnacentral:rRNA from 1 species
UACGAAGGGGGCUAGCGUUGUUCGGAAUUACUGGGCGUAAAGCGUGCGCAGGCGGUUUGCUAAGAACAGGUGUGAAAUCCCCGGGCUUAACCUGGGAACUGCAUUUGUGACUGCAUGGCUGGAGUGGCGGCAGAGGGGGAUGGAAUUCCGCGUGUAGCAGUGAAAUGCGCAGAUAUCAGGAGGAACACCAGCGGCGAAGGCGGCGCUCUGGGCUGGAACUGACGCUGAGGAGCGAAAGCGUGGGGAGCGAACAGG